rnacentral:rRNA from 1 species
AGUGAACGCUGGCGGUAGGCCUAACACAUGCAAGUCGAACGGCAGCACAGUAAGAGCUUGCUCUUACGGGUGGCGAGUGGCGGACGGGUGAGGAAUACAUCGGAAUCUACUUUUUCGUGGGGGAUAACGUAGGGAAACUUACGCUAAUACCGCAUACGACCUACGGGUGAAAGCAGGGGAUCUUCGGACCUUGCGCGAUUGAAUGAGCCGAUGUCGGAUUAGCUAGUUGGCGGGGUAAAGGCCCACCAAGGCGACGAUCCGUAGCUGGUCUGAGAGGAUGAUCAGCCAGACUGGAACUGAGACACGGUCCAGACUUCUACGGGAGGCAGCAGUGGGGAAUAUUGGACAAUGGGCGCAAGCCUGAUCCAGCCAUACCGCGUGGGUGAAGAAGGCCUUCGGGUUGUAAAGCCCUUUUGUUGGGAGAGAAAAGCAGCAGGUUAAUACCCCGCUGUUCUGACGGUACCCAAAGAAUAAGCACCGGCUAACUUCGUG